rnacentral:lncRNA from 1 species
AUUAGCCAAAAAUGAAAGUGUGGAGAUUACAAGUCACUGUGAAGAUAAAAAUAAAAAUGAAAUAAGAGAGGUAUAAGCAAAGGUACCUUGACAACGUCCAAAGAUUGAAAGCAAUGACCUCCUUCUACUCCAAAAUUUGCCGAAACUUGUAAUUAGCUCUAAAUUGAAUGAUUCUUAGUUUUUUGCAAGGCUAACUUAAAGAUUCUCUUUUUCUAAUAAAUCUCAUUGGAAUCUAGUAAUUCAAUCGUGAGAAUUUUUCCUUUGAAGUUCAGUGAUCUAAAUUGCCAUGGCGACCA